rnacentral:rRNA from 1 species
GUGAGGAAUUUUGGACAAUGGGGGCAACCCUGAUCCAGCGACGCCGCGUGAAGGAUGAAGGUCUUCGGAUUGUAAACUUCUUUUAUCUGGGACUAAGAAACUCAUGGAAACAUGGGGAGUGAAUGUACCAGAGGAAUAAGCCACGGCUAACUUCGUGCCAGCAGCCGCGGUAAUACGAAGGUGGCAAGCGUUACUCGGAAUUACUAGGCGUAAAGGGCAGGUAGGUGGUUUGGUAAGUCUGUUGUGAAAGCUCCCGGCUUAACUGGGAGAGGUCAAUAGAUACUGCCGGACUUGAGUAUAGGAGAGGUUACUGGAAUUCCCGGUGUAGCGGUGAAAUGCGCAGAGAUCGGGAGGAACACCAAUGGCGAAAGCAGGUAACUGGACUAUUACUGACGCUAAGCUGCGAAAGCUAGGGGAGCAAACAGGAUUAGAAACCCUAGUAGUCC